AUCCCUUUAUUUUUUGUACUUCAAACUUGAUUAGUACUAGGGAACAGUGCAAUCUUUAGUCUCAGCUGUUUUAUCUGCAACUACCCUAGCCUGAUAUUGGUUUCAUAUUAUUGUUUAGCAACUAACAAUGCUCAUGCCUAGACAGCGAGCCCUCUGUAAGCAGAGACCUUCCUAGCUGCACAUUAAUCCUGCCACCUCAGGGAGUUGGCUUACUCUGUUCUCUGCCCUCGGCCCUCACCUAACAUCAGCAGACAACACGUACUAGCGCUCUAUGCUUUAUAUAUAGUUGAUGUCAACCAUGCCAUUGUUUAAUGAUCAUUUUGUUUUUCUUUACUCUCUCCAUUUUAUAUGCACAACUGGUGUGGUGUGUUGUGUGGUGUGUGGUGCAGCG